rnacentral:rRNA from 1 species
UACGUAGGGGGCUAGCGUUGUCCGGAUUUAUUGGGCGUAAAGAGCGUGUAGGCGGCCAGGUAGGUCUGCUGUGAAAACUCGAGGCUCAACCUCGAGACGUCGGCGGAAACCAUCUGGCUAGAGUCCGGAAGAGGAGAGUGGAAUUCCUGGUGUAGCGGUGAAAUGCGCAGAUAUCAGGAGGAACACCGGUGGCGAAGGCGGGUCUCUGGGCCGAUCCUGACGCUGAGGAGCGAAAGCGUGGGGAGCGAACAGG